rnacentral:lncRNA from 1 species
AUUUAUUUAAUAUAAACACUAUUUUAAAUUGAUUUUUUUUCUCAUUCCCAGAAGGCAGAAAAACUGAAAAAUACAGACUAUAUAUUUUAAUAAAGUUCAGGAUACAGGAAUCCAAUUUGAUCUUGAACUUCAGGAUGAAGAUUCACUGGUUUAACCAUCUUCAGAAGGAUGUUUACCAUGUAUGUUAAGCAGCACAAGGCUGGGGACCACAGAAGCAGAUAGGUGGGGAAGAAACAUCUAUCAGAGGGUCAUCUGUGCUGGACUUCCUCCUUGGAAAAUGAGAAGAGCAGGAAUUACCCCUGUGGAGCCUUC